AACGCACGAGACCUGCGGACCUGCGGAAGGAUCAUUGCGUUUUUUGGAUGUUUGGUUUGGGGUCUUUGACGGGGAACCCGGCAAAGACACUGACCAUUCACCACGUUUACGCUUGUAUUGUUUGACAGAGUUUGUGCAUAUGAAUUAUACAACUUUUAACAACGGAUCUCU
rnacentral:misc_RNA from 1 species